rfam:Triticum aestivum genome assembly, contig: Triticum_aestivum_CS42_TGACv1_scaffold_063174_1DL
CUUAUACAACCUCCGUCCAGAAUUAACUGUCGCUGAAAUGAGUGUAUCUAGACGUGUUUCAGUGUGUAGAUACACUCAUUUCAGCAACAGUUAAUUCCGGACGGAGGGAGUACUUA